UUUUAAAUUCGAUUGGAUUUUACAACAACGCAGACAUGGUGCUCCAAGCUCCCAUUCGACGUCGUCCGAUUAUCUUCACCAUUUCCUAAACCUCAACAACUACUUUCUUCCCCCGUUACCACCUCCGCCGCAGUCUCAUCCAUUCCUCCGUCCCAAAUUACUCAUUCUAUGAUUCCUCCCAAUUUUGGUUCCCUGCUAUUCUCUGCCCCUUCAACAUUACAAGUUACAUCAAGCUCUAAUAGGUCUUAUUCACUUCCUGUCUCUGUAAGUUAGGGUUUAUAUUUUGCUCGAUAUUUUUGAAUUUGGUAUUAUUAUUAUAUUAUGAUACAAAAUCCGAUGAAUUGAGGUGGGAUAGCUUAUGUAAAAAUUUGGUUGCUACUAUGAACAACAGUUUGCAUUCUCUGAGAUGCUUACUAGAAAAAUGUAGCAAAAACGAGAAUCUAAUCACCCAAAUCCACGCUCAUGCCACAACUCUAGGUCUCUUUCGCACUCAACAACAUUUCGCGUGUAAGCUACUCAACAUAUAUGCCAAGAAGUUAAACAAUCCAACCAAAGCUCAGGGGAUCUUUGAUCAGAUUCAUAACCCAGAUAUAGUUUCAUGGACUUGUCUCAUGUCUCUUUACUUGCAAAACCAACAACCCUUGAAAACGCUCUCUUUAUUUUCUCACAUGAUCGUGUCAACGGGGUUGAACCCAGACGGGCAUUGCAUAGUGGCUGCACUUUCAGCUUGUGGGUCUGCUAAGAAUCUAGUGGUUGGGAAGAUAGUUCAUGGGAUGGUGUUGAGAUAUGAGUUGGGUGGUGAAGAACCCAUUGUUUCCAAUGCUCUGAUUGAUCUCUACUGUCGAAAUGGUCAAAUAGGUUUAGCAAGGAGAGUGUUUGAAUCCAUGGUAGCCAAAGACGUUGCUUCCUGGACGAGUUUGCUAAAUGGCCAUAUCAUAUGUGGUGAUAUUGUUUCUGCUGGCCAAGUGUUCGAUGAAAUGCCUGUGAGAAAUGUCAUCUCCUGGACUGCCAUGAUAGUGGGCUAUGUCCGAAGCAAAAACGUUAUCCAUGGAUUAAAACUGUUUAGGGAGAUGAGAAGUGAUUACAUUCAUCCUACUUCAAUCACAAUAGUAGCUGUUCUUUCCGGUUGUGCAGAUGUUGGUGCCCUUGAUUUUGGUGGAUCAUUACAUGGAUACAUUAACAAGAUAUCAAAUCUUAUCACUGAUGUAUCAGUGAACAAUGCUUUGAUAGAUAUGUAUUGUAAAGGUGGAAACCUCGAAUUGGCCACAAGGGUAUUCAUGAAAAUGCAUAAAAAAGAUGUUUUUUCUUGGACAAGUAUGAUUUCAGGAUUAGCUCUUCAUGGGAAAGGAAGAUCAACCCUUAAAGUGUUUAAUGAUAUGGUAUCAAGUGGAAUGACCCCAAACGAUAUUACCUUUUUAUCAGUUCUAUCAGCUUGUGGUCAUGGAGGACUAAUUAAGGAAGGAAUGUCUCUUUUUACCAAAAUGGUUGAUGAUUAUGGUUUAAAACCAACAAUGAAACACUAUGGUUGUAUGGUGGAUCUUGUUUGUAGGGCAGGGGAUUUAAAAGAAGCACUCAGGUUGAUUGACAUGAUGCCUUUUGAACCAGAUGCUGUUAUCUGGAGAUCUGUUUUGAGUGGUUGUAUGAUGAAAAGAGAUGUAGGGUUAGCUGAAAUUGUAGCAAAGAAAAUAGUGGAAUUAGAACCUUAUGAUGAUGGAGUGUAUAUUCUUGUUUGGAAUUUAUAUCGGUUAACAAACAAGUGGGAAGAUGCAUUAAAGACAAGAAAGGUUAUGAGAAGUCAAAAGAUUAAGAAACAGCCUGGGUGUAGUUGGAUCGAGAUUAAUGGUGUUGUUCAUGAAUUUACUGCAGAGACCACAAUUCAUUAUGAUUUUAUGCAUACUAUUUUACAAGUUUUAGGUGAAUGAAUGGGGUUUUAAGGCAAGAUGUGGCCUAGUUUGACUUGAGAUGCUAAUGGUUUCAGUUGUUAUUGCAAGAUUUCUAACUAAAGUAAUGGCAUCAACCACAACAACCCCGUCUACGGGAUCAACUGCAGCUCAAGAGAAUCUUAAACGCAAAUCAAAUGAUCCUGGAUGGGAAUAUGCAAUGUGUGUGAAUCUAAGAAAUUGGAGCAAGUGAAAUGCAUUUUAUGUAAUAAGUAGAUAGGCAGGGGUAUCAAUAGACUAAAACAACAUAUUGCACAAAUUAAAGGAAAUGUUUCUUCAUGCCCAAAGGCCACAAUAUGACCAAAUAAAAUGUAGAGAUGCUCUUCUUGAUAACCAAAAUAAAAAGAAGGGGAAGGUAGAUGAAAAUGAGUCUUUAUGAGCACAAGUGAAUAUUAGAAGUAGUGAGAAUGAAACCAUUACCAUCGAUGAUGAUUUGAUGGAAGAUUCAUUUGGCUCUAAGAAGGCUAAACGUUCUUUUGGGCCUAUGGAUCGGUUUCCAAACACUAUCAACCCCCAAGAUGUUUCAAACCUGGGAAAAAGCAAACAAGAAAAUAUGUCAAAUGUUAUUCGUAAGGAACACAUGAUUCGUGUGAAAGAAUAUAUUUGUAGAUGGGCCUAUGAAUGUGCCAUUCCUUUUCAUGUCUUUUAAAAUGAUAACUUUAAAAUUAUGUUGGAGGCCGUUGGCCAAUUUGGACGUGGGGCACCACCUCAAACUAGAUAUGAGAUGGGAGAAACAUAUUUAAAGAAAGAAGUAGAAAGAACAAUAAAUUUGUUGACACCAUACAAAGACGAAUGGAAAUCUAAUGGAUGCUUGAUUAUGACGGACGCAUGGUCCGAUAGAAAGAAAAGGAACAUCAUGAACUUAUGUGUUAAUUCAAAGACGAGGACCGUUUUUUUGUCAUCUAAAGAAUCAUCAGAUGAAGCUCACACAAGUGAACACAUGCAUGAGUAUGUUGAAAGUUGCAUCAAAGAAGUUAGCCCUGAGAAUGUGGUUCAAAUUGUGACAGACUCAAAUAAUAUGGGAGUGACCAAGUUGUUAAAGGAAAAAAGACCAACUAUUUUUUGGACAUCUUGUGCAACACAUACCCUCAAUCUUAUGCUUGAAAGUAUUAAUUUUAAUUGUGCUAAGUUUAUAAUUUAGUGUUCUUUAUUAAUUUUUAAUAACAUUAUUAACGUUUUAUUUAUUUUAAAAGGUAUUGGUGGACUACCUAGGUAUAAGAAAAUUCUCGACCAUGCAAAAACACUCAUGGUGUUUAUUUAUGCUCAUCAUAAAACUUUGGCCAUGACGAGACACGUUACCAAGAAAAGAGAUAUUGUGCGACCGGGAGUCACGUGAUUUGCUUCCGUAUUUUUUACUUUGCAAAGUUUGGCCAAUAAAAAUGCCCAACUAAAACAAAUGUUUACAAGCGAUGAAUGGGAAUCAUGUAGACUUAGCAACACCUUUAAAGGGAAAGCCGCAUAUAACAUAGUGAUAAAUGCCACAUUUUGGACUGAUGUAGCAUUAUGUUUAAAGGUUUUUGCCCCUUUGGUCAAAGUUCUUCGCAUGGUUGAUGUGGAUCGAAAGCUAUCAAUGGGUUUUGUAUAUGGUGAGCUUCAAAAUGCAAAACAAGAAAUUAUUAAUGCUUUGGGCAACAAUAAAAAAAACGUAUGAGCCUAUUAUGGAUACCAUUUCGAAAAAAAGAUGAAAAAUAGGCUUGAUACAACCCUACAUUUGACGGCUUACCUUUUAAAUCCAUAUUAUCUUUAUAAGAAUCCGGAGAUCCAAAAUGAUAUUGAUGUGACCGAUGAGAUUGUUGAUUUUGUCGAUACAAUACAUCCAGGAGAUCAUUCUUUGCAAAACCAUAUCGUGAUAGUUGAGUUGCCGGUUUACAUGGGUAAACAAGAAAAAAUAAUCGAGAAAUUACAAUUAAAGGAUGUGAGGUGAACAACGACAAAUUUGAUCCGGCUUAUGGUGCCUUAACUCCACAAUUGAGAAAGAUUGCUACAAGGAUAAUUUCUUUAACAACUAGUUCUUCGGGGUGUGAAAGAAAUUGGAGCACUUUUGAAGGGGUACAUACAAAGAAAAGAAAUAGAUUAGAGACGUCUAAAUUGAACAAUCUUGUUUUUGUUCCAUUUAAUGCAAAUUUGAUGGAAAAUAACAAGAAAAGGAAGACUAAGGAUAUGGAAGUACUUUUAGCAAAAGAUGCAAGUGAGGCUCAAGAAUGUAUUAUUGGAUGAAGGUGAGCCCGAUGAAGCUAUGGGUGACGAGGAGUUUUUACAAAAUCAUAGAAGUUCUAGAUUGAGAGAACUUGAUGAGGAAGAAUUUGUGUCGGAGGAUGAGGAAGAACUAAAUGAAGAUGUUGAAUAUGAAUCGGAUGGAGUUAAUAUCAACGAACAAAUCGAAGCUACAUUGGAAGAGGAAGAUUAAAUGAUUAAUCUAAAUAUAUAAUAUUAAAGAAUGGUGUCUAUUUUUGAAACAAUUUAACAUUUGAAAAUGUAUCUUUUGUUGAUAUUUCACCUAAUUUUGUAAUAAAUUUCAAUCAACUAAUAUUUUAAAUUAUGAUCUUUGAC